GACGAACGCUGGCGGCGUGCCUAAUACAUGCAAGUCGAACGAAGCUGUUUUAACUGGUGCUUGCACCGACUUAAACAACUGAGUGGCGAACGGGUGAGUAACACGUGGGUAACCUGCCCCAAAGCGGGGGAUAACAUUUGGAAACAGAUGCUAAUACCGCAUAACCACAGAAACCACAUGGUUUCUGUGUCAAAGAUGGUUUCGGCUAUCACUUUGGGAUGGACCCGCGGCGUAUUAGCUAGGUGGUAAGGUAAUGGCUUACCAAGGCAAUGAUACGUAGCCUAACUGAGAGGUUGAUCGGCCACAUUGGGACUGAGAAACGGCCCAAACUCCUACGGGAGGCAGCAGUAGGGAAUCUUCCAAAAUGGACGAAAGUCUGAUGGAGCAACGCCGCGGGAGUGAAGAAGGUUUUCGGAUCGUAAAACUCUGUUGUCAGAGAAGAACGUGUGCGAGAGUAACUGCUCGUGCAGUGACGGUAUCUGGCCAGAAAGCCACGGCUAACUACGUGCCAGCAGCCGCCGUAA
rnacentral:rRNA from 1 species